CCAUCCAGCUCCAAUAGYGUAUAUUAAAGUUGUKGCAGUUAAAAAGCUCGUAGUUGAACCUUGGGUCUGGCUGGCCGGUCCGCCUCACCGCGAGUACUGGUCCGGCUGGACCUUUCCUUCUGGGGAACCUCAUGGCCUUCACUGGCUGUGGGGGGAACCAGGACUUUUACUGUGAAAAAAUUAGAGUGUUCAAAGCAGGCCUUUGCUCGAAUACAUUAGCAUGGAAUAAUAGAAUAGGACGUGCGGUUYUAUUUUGUUGGUUUCUAGGACCGCCGUAAUGAUUAAUAGGGAUAGUCGGGGGCGUCAGUAUUCAGCUGUCAGAGGUGAAAUUCUUGGAUUUGCUGAAGACUAACUACUGCGAAAGCAUUCGCCAAGGAUGUUUUCAUUAAUCAGGGAACGAAAGUUAGGGGAUSGAAGASGAUCAGAUACCGUSGUAGUYUUAACCAUAAAYUAUGCCGACUAGGGAUCGGGCGGUGUUUMUAUGAUGACCCSCUCGGCACCUUACGAGAAAUCAAAGUUUUUGGGUUCUGGGGGGAGUAUGGUCGCAAGGCUGAAACUAAAGAAAUGAUCGCAUGACAUAACUGAUGC
rnacentral:rRNA from 1 species